rnacentral:rRNA from 1 species
GAAGGAAGCACAGACAAGCAGAUGCGCCAGCAUAUCCAUGAGUGGAGCGCGUGAGAUUCCCUCAGUAGCGGCGAGCGAAGCGGGAAGAGCCUAAACCGAAAGCUUUCGGGCUUUCGGGGUUGAGGACCAGCACAAAGGGAAAGCAGUCUAGUGGAACGGCAUGGGAAGGCCGGGCAAAGAGAGUGAGACCCUCGUACACGAAAGAGUGAAAAGCGGGCAGGAAUCCAGAGUACCACAGGGCACGAGGAACCCGGUGGGAAGCAGGGUGGACCACCAUCCAAGGCAAAAUACUACCUGACGACCGAUAGAGGAAAGUACCGUGAGGGAAAGGCGAAAAGAACCGCGGGAGCGGAGUGAAAUAGAACCUGAAACCGUAUGUCCACAAGCAGUCGAAGCGCUUUAUAUGCGCGACGGCGUGCCUAUUGAAGAAUGAACCGGCGAGUUACGAAGCCUGGCAAGGUUAAGCAGGAAAUGCGGAGCCGAAGCGAAAGCGAGUCUUAAGAGGGCGCAAGUCAGGAAGCGUAGACCCGAAACCACAGUGAUCUACCCAUGUCCAGGUUGAAGCACAGGUAAAAAUGUGUGGAGGACCGAACCUAUAUCUGUUGAAAAAGGUUAGGAUGACUUGUGGAUAGCGGUGAAAUUCCAAUCGAACUCGGAUAUAGCUGGUUCUCCUCGAAAUAGCUUUAGGGCUAGCCUCAAGGAAAGACACUGGGAGGUAGAGCACUGAAUGUUCUAGGGGCCUUCACCGGUUACCGAAAACUAUCAAACUCCGAAUACCAGAGUAUCAUCUACGGGAGUCAGACUAUGUGAGAUAAGUUUCAUAGUCGAAAGGGAAACAGCCCAGACCUACAGCUAAGGUCCCAAAAUAUAAGUUAAGUGGAAAAGGAUGUGAAGUUGCACAAACAGCUAGGAUGUUGGCUUAGAAGCAGCCAUACAUUUAAAGAGUGCGUAACAGCUCACUAGUCGAGUGAUUUUGCGCCGAAGAUAAACGGGGCUAAAACUUAUUACCGAAGCUUGGGAAUUUAAAAUAAAUUGGUAGAGGAGCGUCCUAUGUGGGUUGAAGUUGUGCCGUAAGGCAUGGUGGACUGCAUAGGAGUGAGAAUGUUGGCAUGAGUAGCGAGAGACAGGUGAGAAUCCUGUCGGCCGAAAAUCUAAGGUUUCCUGAGCAAGGUUCGUCCGCUCAGGGUUAGUCGGGACCUAAGCUGAGGGCGAAAGCCAUAGGCGAUGGACAACAGGUUGAUAUUCCUGUACCACCGAUAGUCGUUAAGAGUGAAGUGGGGACACAGAAGGAUAGGUUAAGCGUGCCGUUGGUAGAGCACGUACAAGCGUUAAGGUAGUUGCGGCAGGCAAAUCCACUGCAAUAAUACUGAGGCGUUAUGUGGAGGGAAAUUAAGUACCGGAAGUGACUGAUUUCAUGCUGUCAAGAAAAGCCGCUAGCAAGACUAAAGGUGCCCGUACCGCAAACCGACACAGGUAGAUGAGGAGAGAAUCCUAAGGCCAGCGAGAUAACUAUUGUUAAGGAACUCGGCAAAAUAACCCCGUAACUUUGGGAGAAGGGGUACCUACGCAAGUAGGUCGCAGUGAAUAGGCCCAGGCGACUGUUUAGCAAAAACACAGGUCUCUGCAAAAGCGAAAGCUGAAGUAUAGGGGCUGACGCCUGCCCAGUGCUGGAAGGUUAAGGUGAAGUGUAAGGGUAACCGAAGCACAGAACUUAAGCCCCAGUAAACGGCGGCCGUAACUAUAACGGUCCUAAGGUAGCGAAAUUCCUUGUCAGGUAAGUUCUGACCCGCACGAAAGGCGUAACGAUCUGGGCGCUGUCUCAACAAUAGACUCGGUGAAAUUGUAGUACCGGUAAAGAUGCCGGUUACCCGCAGCAGGACGGAAAGACCCCGUGGAGCUUUACUGUAACUUGAUAUUGAGUUUCGGUGUUAUGCGUACAGGAUAGGUGGGAGACUAUGAAUCUGGAGCGCCAGUUUCAGAGGAGUCACUGUUGGGAUACCACCCUUGUAGCAUUGGAAUUCUAACCCGGUAGCAUCAUCUGCUACGGGGACAGUGUCUGGUGGACAGUUUGACUGGGGCGGUCGCCUCCUAAAGAGUAACGGAGGCGCCCAAAGGUUCCCUCAGCGCGGACGGAAAUCGCGCAUAGAGUGCAAAGGCAGAAGGGAGCUUGACUGCGAGACCAACAAGUCGAGCAGGGACGAAAGUCGGGCUUAGUGAUCCGGUGGUUCCGAGUGGAAGGGCCAUCGCUCAACGGAUAAAAGCUACCC